CCUACGUGCGGCUGCAGUGAGGAAUAUUGGUCAAUGGGCGAGAGCCUGAACCAGCCAAGUCGCGUGAAGGAUGACUGCCCUAUGGUUUGUAAACUUCUUUUAUAUGGGAAUAAAAUGAGGCACGUGUGCCUUUUUGCAUGUACUUUAUGAAUAAGCAUCGGCUAACUCCGUGCCAGCAGCCGCGGUAAUACGGAGGAUCCGAGCGUUAUCCGGAUUUAUUGGGUUUAAAGGGAGCGUAGAUGGUUUGUUAAGUCAGCUGUGAAAGUUUGUGGCUCAACCGUAAAAUUGCAAUUGAUACUGGUAGUCUUGAGUAUAUUUGAGGUAGGCGGAAUGCGUGGUGUAGCGGUGAAAUGCUUAGAUAUCACGCAGAACUCCGAUUGCGAAGGCAGCUUACUAAACUGUGACUGACACUGAAGCACGAAAGCGUGGGGAUCAAACAGGAUUAGAUACCCUUGUAGUC
rnacentral:rRNA from 1 species